AGGCUUUCUGAUUGGAUUGAAAAAUAUGCUUCCAGUGGGGUGAAGGAAAUCCAGAUUAAAUAUGUUCUUCAAGCCCUUCCGAUGUUUGCAAUGGGAAUCUUUAAUUUUCUAGCCUCUCUUUGUGAGGAUUUGUCCUAGAUUAUUCAGAAUUUUUGGCGAGGAGAUGAAGAGGAUGGGAGAAAAACUCAUUGGCUGGCUUGGGACAAAUUAAAAAGAUCAAAAGGAGAAGGAGGUAUGUCUUUUCGUGAUCUUAGGCUUUUUAACCAAGCUUUACUGGCUAAACAAGCUUGGCGAUUAUUGAUAAAUCCAGAGUUACUCUGCGCAAAGCUGAUGAAAGCAAAGUAUUACCCUCGAGGACAUCUUCUUGAUAAGGUUUUUCCGCAAUUAACUUCGGCGACUUGGCAAGGUAUUAUGCAUGGUCUUGAACUUCUCGGAAAAGGGGUUAUCUGGACAGUUUUUGAUGGAUCUAGUAUAAAUAUUUGGAGAGACAACUGGCUGCCUAGGAUGUCUGGGCUUAAAAUUUCAGCUAAAAUGAAUAGAACUAAGAUAAUCACUUGUUCUUUCCCCAUGAGGCCGAUGUGA
rnacentral:rRNA from 1 species